GUGGCUAUAGCUCAGUUGGUAGAGCCCCGGAUUGUGAUUCCGGUUGUCGCGAGUUCAAGUCUCGUUAGCCANCCCCA
rnacentral:tRNA from 1 species